UACGUAGGCAGCAAACGUUGCUCGGAAUUACUGGGCGUAAAGCGCGUGUAGGCGGACCAGCAAGUCGGACGUGAAAUCCCUGAGCUCAACUCAGGAACUGCAUCCGAAACUGCUGGUCUGGAGUGGUGGAGAGGGAAGCAGAAUUCCUGGUGUAGAGGUGAAAUUCGUAGAUAUCAGGAGGAACACCGGUGGCGAAGGCGGCUUCCUGGACACUUACUGACGCUGAGACGCGAAAGCGUGGGGAGCAAACAGG
rnacentral:rRNA from 1 species